GAGGGGAAGCGCUUGAUGAGUGGAUGUACUAAAAAUUCAACAAUCCGCAGUUAUAGCUCCAUUUUCUGGAAAGCAAAAUCUCUCUGUGGCCCCAGGGCCCUUUAAAUUUUACUGUGACUGUUUUCUUAAGAAAUUCCUGGAGCAGAGCCUAACUUUUGUGUAGGGGGUUGGCGGCGUGCAUAUUGGCGGCCUAAGGGACGGCUGGCUUAAGAGUUGCCGAGCGUUCGAGCGUUCGCACGCGAAGGAAACUUCUCAGGAGUCAGAGCGGCCCGGUGGAGGGCUGUGAAGUGGGGUGGCCCGAGAAUCCUUGAACUUUCAAGGCUUCGGGGAAGUCGGGGAAGGGAAACUGGGGGUGGCCAAGGCGGCCAGACGUUUGCAGGACUUCAACGCUCCCGACUUCUCCCCUCUGCCGGCCCAGACCUGACACGGGUUCGGCGGCCGAACCAGGGAACAGCCAGGGCGUCUGGGCAGGAGGGAGGAGGGCCGGGCCGGGAGGAAGAAGUCCGGGGCUGCCGCCGCCCCGCCCGUCGGGCUGUCCGCCCCGCCUACCCGAGCGAGGCGGAGCCGGCGCCCGCCCGGAGGAGCAGGAGGAGGAGGAGGAGAGGUCGGAGUCGUCUCCAGGAGCCCUUAGAGACAGAGUCCCCGGCAGCGGCGGUGACGGCAGGGGCAGCGCACCGGCAGAUUCAUUCCAUCACCUAAAACCUGGUAACGGUGGGCCACACAGAGUCUCACGGAGUCAUUUCCCCCUGGGUGCUCAUGAGGAGGAUGCCACAUAAGGCAGCGAACAACAUCCCUAUAGAAAUGACUGAUGAGGACCACCCUCCAUGUAGACCAACGAUGUGUGACACCUGAGUGCUGCCCAAGAAGAGCCUUCCAGCCCAGGUGUGCAUUUCUCCGCUGGCCUUGCUUCACCCAAGUAUAAAAUGUAAUAUUUUCAGCUGUAAUAACAAGUAUAUAUAUUCAUCCCUCCUCCCUCCCCUGUGAUGUGUGUCACAGACUGUCAUGGCUCUUGAUGCUGAGCCCAGACAUUUGGCUACGGCCCAGACUUGGCACACGAGUUGAAAUCUCCUUACCAUCCCAGUUCUAAAAGAAUAAUAAAC
rnacentral:lncRNA from 1 species